UACGUAGGGGGCAAGCGUUGUCCGGAAUCAUUGGGCGUAAAGAGCGUGUAGGUGGCUCGGUAAGUCCGCUGUGAAAGUCCAGGGCUCAACCCUGGAAAGCCGGUGGAAACUGUCGAGCUCGAGUCCGGAAGAGGCGAGUGGAAUUCCUGGUGUAGCGGUGAAAUGCGCAGAUAUCAGGAAGAACACCCGUGGCGAAGGCGGCUUUCUGGGACGGUACUGACGCUGAGACGCGAAAGCGUGGGGAGCGAACAGG
rnacentral:rRNA from 1 species